GACCCGUUAGCUCAGUCGGUAGAGCUCCUGCCUUUUAAGCAGGGAGUCCGGGGUUCGAGUCCCCGACGGGUCACCA
rnacentral:tRNA from 1 species